rnacentral:rRNA from 1 species
UGUUUAACACGUGGAUAACCUACCUAUAAGACUGGGAUAACUUCGGGAAACCGGAGCUAAUACCGGAUAAGAUUUUGAACCGCAUGGUUCAAUAGUGAAAGACGGCCUUGCUGUCACUUAUAGAUGGAUCCGCGCCGUAUUAGCUAGUUGGUAAGGUAACGGCUUACCAAGGCAACGAUACGUAGCCGACCUGAGAGGGUGAUCGGCCACACUGGAACUGAGACACGGUCCAGACUCCUACGGGAGGCAGCAGUAGGGAAUCUUCCGCAAUGGGCGAAAGCCUGACGGAGCAACGCCGCGUGAGUGAUGAAGGUCUUCGGAUCGUAAAACUCUGUUAUCAGGGAAGAACAAACGUGUAAGUAACUGUGCACGUCUUGACGGUACCUGAUCAGAAAGCCACGGCUAACUACGUGCCAGCAGCCGCGGUAAUACGUAGGUGGCAAGCGUUAUCCGGAAUUAUUGGGCGUAAAGCGCGCGUAGGCGGUUUUUUAAGUCUGAUGUGAAAGCCCACGGCUCAACCGUGGAGGGUCAUUGGAAACUGGAAAACUUGAGUGCAGAAGAGGAAAGUGGAAUUCCAUGUGUAGCGGUGAAAUGCGCAGAGAUAUGGAGGAACACCAGUGGCGAAGGCGACUUUCUGGUCUGUAACUGACGCUGAUGUGCGAAAGCGUGGGGAUCAAACAGGAUUAGAUACCCUGGUAGUCCACGCCGUAAACGAUGAGUGCUAAGUGUUAGGGGGGUUUCCGCCCCUUAGUGCUGCAGCUAACGCAUUAAGCACUCCGCCUGGGGAGUACGACCGCAAGGUUGAAACUCAAAGG